rnacentral:rRNA from 1 species
GGAGUCUAGCAUGUGCGCGAGUCAUUGGGAAGCUCGUGCUAAACCUAAAGGCGAAAUGAAAGUGAAGGCGCGCCUCGCGCGCGCCUAGGGAGGAUGGGCGACGUCCCGAGGCCAAUAACCGAGGUUAACGCCGCCCCGCACUCCCGGGGCGUCUCGUUCUCAUCGCGAGAAGAGGCGCACCCAGAGCGUACACGCUGGGACCCGAAAGAUGGUGAACUAUGCCUGGUCAGGACGAAGUCAGGGGAAACCCUGAUGGAGGUCCGUAGCGAUUCUGACGUGCAAAUCGAUCGUCGGAACUGGGUAUAGGGGCGAAAGACUAAUCGAACCAUCUAGUAGCUGGUUCCCUCCGAAGUUUCCCUCAGGAUAGCUGGCGCUCGAACAAACUAACAAUUGCGAGUCUCAUCCGGUAAAGCGAAUGAUUAGAGGCAUUGGGGUCGAAACGGCCUCAACCUAUUCUCAAACUUUAAAUGGGUGAGAUCUCCGGCUUGCUUGAAUGCGUUGAAGCCGCGAGAUCGGAUCAGAGUGCCAAGUGGGCCACUUUUGGUAAGCAGAACUGGCGCUGUGGGAUGAACCAAACGCGGAGUUAAAGCGCCUAAAUCGACGCUUAUGGGAUACCAUGAAAGGCGUUGGUAACUUAAGACAGCAGGACGGUGGCCAUGGAA